rnacentral:rRNA from 1 species
UACGUAGGUGGCAAGCGUUGUCCGGAAUUAUUGGGCGUAAAGCGCGCGCAGGCGGUCCUUUAAGUCUGAUGUGAAAUCUCGCGGCUCAACCGCGAGCGGUCAUUGGAAACUGGGGGACUUGAGUGCAGAAGAGGAAAGCGGAAUUCCACGUGUAGCGGUGAAAUGCGUAGAGAUGUGGAGGAACACCAGUGGCGAAGGCGGCAUCCUGGACCACCACUGACACUGAGGAGCGAAAGCCAGGGGAGCAAACGGG